CUAACACACACACACACACACACACACACACACACACACACACACACACUUGUGUAUGAGUUCUAGUGUCCUGGAUGUUAACUUUCCCAGUCAGUGUUGUGUUGUACCUGAGCGAUGUGUGGUGAUGAAGUCAGCAGCGCGCGCUACAGCCCGCCUCCCGCUUCAAAACUACUGCACCCGGAAGUGUUCCAGCAACACUUCCGGGUUUCACCGAAAGUUAAAAAAAACUUUUCUGAUUAUUUGUUAAAAAUUUACAGUAAUAAAAUAAUAAUAAUAA